rnacentral:rRNA from 1 species
AUUGAACGCUGGCGGCAUGCCUUACACAUGCAAGUCGAACGGUAACAGGUCUUCGGAUGCUGACGAGUGGCGAACGGGUGAGUAAUAUAUCGGAACGUGCCUAGUAGUGGGGGAUAACUACUCGAAAGAGUGGCUAAUACCGCAUGAGAUCUACGGAUGAAAGCAGGGGAUCGCAAGACCUUGUGCUACUAGAGCGGCCGAUGGCAGAUUAGGUAGUUGGUGGGAUAAAAGCUUACCAAGCCGACGAUCUGUAGCUGGUCUGAGAGGACGAUCAGCCACACUGGGACUGAGACACGGCCCAGACUCCUACGGGAGGCAGCAGUGGGGAAUUUUGGACAAUGAGCGCAAGCCUGAUCCAGCAAUGCCGCGUGCAGGAUGAAGGCCUUCGGGUUGUAAACUGCUUUUGUACGGAACGAAAAGCCCCGGGUUAAUACCCUGGGGUCAUGACGGUACCGUAAGAAUAAGCACCGGCUAACUACGUGCCAGCCGCCGCCGUAA